GACGAACGCUGGCGGCGGGCUUAACACAUGCAAGUCGAACGCCAUCUUCGGAUGGAGUGGCAGACGGGUGAGUAACGCGUGGGAACGUACCUUUUGCUUCGGAAUAUUCCCGGGAAACUGGGAGCAAUACCGAAUGUGCCCUGAGGGGGAAAGAUUUAUCGGCAAAAGAUCGGCCCGCGUUAGAUUAGGUAGUUGGUGGGGUAAUGGCCUACCAAGCCUACGAUCUAUAGCUGGUCUGAGAGGAUGAUCAGCCACAUUGGGACUGAGACACGGCCCAAAAUCCGACGGGAGGCAGCAGUGGGGAAUAUUGGACAAUGGGCGCAAGCCUGAUCCAGCCAUGCCGCGUGAAUGAUGAAGGCCUUAGGGUUGUAAAAUUCUUUCAACGGUCACGAUAAUGACGGUAGCCGUGGAAGAAGCCCCGGCUAUCUUCGUGCCAGCAGCCGCCGUAA
rnacentral:rRNA from 1 species